rnacentral:lncRNA from 1 species
AGGAAAUUUAGGAUUAUGAGUUAAUUUAGGUGAGGAGAUAAUGAUCUCCUUUUGGAAUAAGGCACUUUGAGGUGAAGCCACUUAUUAAAUUUGAAGUACAUCAUCACGAGUGAAAAACAAUGCAACCAAAUAUACAGUUAAGGGAGGCAGUCAGAGGAAGGUGAUAGUAGCUUAGGCUAUCAAGGAAGCAGGCAUGUAAAGAAAAAAGACAAGGCACAACUUUUGAGCUUUUCUAUAUUUAGAGUGCAGGCAGAUGAUAAGGGGCUCUUAAAGGAGGUAAGGAAGUAAAAGGAAUGACUAACAUUAAGAAAUGUGACAGAUAGUCAAGGAAGUUGAAAUCAGAACAAAACAUUUAAGAGCAAGUUUGAUUUUGGAGUGAUUGUGAGCAGGAAGGGCUUGACAUCCGGGAAAUCAAGAAAGCAAAGGAUUAAGAAGCGAGUGAGCUGGACCAGGCAGAAAGAAUGGGCAGUGAACUCUCACAGGAAAUCUGUCAGUAAAAUUCUCAUCAAGAGACAAGAUCAAUUCAAUCCCAUUUUGCAGUGUCAAAUGGCAAACUGCAUGCAAGUCAAAGGGGGUAUAUGCUGUGUUAAUAUGCAAAUCUGUAUUUUCAGAAGAUACGGAGAAAAUGAAAAGUAUUCAAAAUCAACAUGAGGGAGAUUUCUAAGGCAGUUCUUCUAAAGAAGAUGAAUGAAAAAUACAAUGUCAGGCCGGGCGUGGUGGCUCACGCCUGUAAUUCCAGCACUUUAGGAGGCCGAGGUGGGCGAAUCACGAGGUCAGGAGAUCGAGACCAUCCUGGCUAACACGGUGAAACCCCGUAUCUACUAAAAAUACAAAAAAAUUAGCCAGGCGUGGUAGCGGGUGCCUGUAGUCCCAGCUACUCGGGAGGCUGAGGCAGGAGAAUGGUAUGAACCCGGGA